GAUGAACGCUGGCGGCGUGCCUAAUACAUGCAAGUCGAGCGAACGGACGAGAAGCUUGCUUCUCUGAUGUUAGCGGCGGACGGGUGAGUAACACGUGGAUAACCUACCCAUAAGACUGGGAUAACUUCGGGAAACCGGAGCUAAUACCGGAUAAUAUUUUGAACCGCAUGGUUCAAAAGUGAAAGACGGUCUUGCUGUCACUUAUAGAUGGAUCCGCGCUGCAUUAGCUAGUUGGUAAGGUAACGGCUUACCAAGGCAACGAUGCAUAGCCGACCUGAGAGGGUGAUCGGCCACACUGGAACUGAGACACGGUCCAGACUCCUACGGGAGGCAGCAGUAGGGAAUCUUUCGCAAUGGGCGAAAGCCUGACGGAGCAACGCCGCGUGAGUGAUGAAGGUCUUCGGAUCGUAAAACUCUGUUAUUAGGGAAGAACAUAUGUGUAAGUAACUGUGCACAUCUUGACGGUACCUAAUCAGAAAGCCACGGCUAACUACGUG
rnacentral:rRNA from 1 species